UAGAAAUCACGAGAAUGCAUGGUGGUUGAAAUAAUGUUUUUCUUUUAAGAUAUUUCUUGAUUUUCUGUGUCUAAUUUGGUUACAAAUUAAUGUAUGGAGUGCCUAAAACCAUUUGACAAUGAAUCAAGAAUAAUUUAGAGUUCUUGUUUAACUUUAAAAAUUUGAGCUGAAACCACGUGUUUCUUUGAAAGCUCAAGGGCUUUAUUUAUAUUAAAAAGACAAAAUUAAUGCUAUUAAUAAAAUGAAAUUUAAGCUUAACUCUAUCCUACUAAACCGGCUUGUAAGAUGAAAUUUGCACCUACAUAUAAGUGUAUACUAUAAUUUGACUUUAUCUCUUGUUGAGGUAGGCUCUUCAUCACACGUCCUCAUGCUGAGGACUGGGCAUCUUGAGUUUUGGACUAGGGGUAACUCCGAUAGCAGGUGACACGAGGCCCAACAACUUGACACUGAAGAUUUGAUACCAAUGAGUUAUGAGCAAAGUCAUAUAAGUGACUUGAGGCCAACUCCUACCCAAAACAUUUGCAAUGAGUUUGUGAGUCUUCUUCUCUUAUAUGUUGUUCAACUUUCUCAUUAUUACUUAAUGUGCGACUCAAACUUAUUUGGAUUCCUAAUAAUUUCCCUCUUAAGUGUUAGUCUUUUCCACAUUAGAGGACUUUCAAAUACAGUGAAUCCACAAACCUAGGAUUCUUCACUCACUUUUUGAGUUGGUCACCUAAACAAACUAUUGAUUCUGGUAUCAUAUUAAGGUAGUGGAAUUUAAGUGGAACUUAAUCUUACAAAACUGGAUAAGUAAGAUAUCAAAUCUAGUACCAUCAAAGUUGGGACAGGUUUUAAUAAUACCCACAUGUAAUGGUUUAGUUGCCAUCUCUAUCCCUUUAGGUAAUAGUGAGGAUGUAAGUCUUGUGAAUUUACCCAUUGUAUUGAGAAAGAGAAAAAGACCUUGUGUUUAAUAUUUUAUUUGUCAAUAUGUAUGCAUUGACAAUACCUCUAAUAAACAUCAAUGCUUUAUUGUUGCCAUUGAUGUCACAAAAAUUCCUACCACAGUCUACAAGCCAUGGAAACCAAACAUUGAACUUAGGCAAUGUGGGAGGAAGUGGAUGCAUUAGAAAGAAACUCAAAUGGGAGAUUGUUGACAAACCAAGAGAUGAAAAUGUCAUAGGGUGCAGAUGGAUAUUUUCAGUGAAACAUAAGGUGGAUGGGCCAGUAGAUAGGUAUAAUGUUAGAUUGGUUGCAAAUGGAUACUCUCAACCUUAUGGAGUUGUUCUUCUCUAGGAAAGAUGAAUUCAAUUCAAGUUGUUCUUGCUGUAGUAGGUCAGUUUUUGAUGGGACUUACACCAUUUGGAUGUGACUAAUGCCUUUUUGCAUGGAACUUUAGAAGAAGUGUGCAUGCAGAUUCCUCUUGAACUUGAAAAUUAGAGUCGAAGGAAUAAGUUAUGCCACCAAAGGAAAGCCUUAUAUGGUUUUAAAAAUCUCCAAGAGCAUGACUUGGAGAUUUACAAAACGCAUGGUUUCCUUAG